rnacentral:rRNA from 1 species
UACGUAGGGUGCAAGCGUUGUCCGGAAUUAUUGGGCGUAAAGAGCUCGUAGGCGGUUUGUCGCGUCUGCUGUGAAAACUCGGGGCUUAACUCCGGGCCUGCAGUGGGUACGGGCAGACUAGAGUGCGGUAGGGGAGACUGGAAUUCCUGGUGUAGCGGUGAAAUGCGCAGAUAUCAGGAGGAACACCGGUGGCGAAGGCGGGUCUCUGGGCAGUAACUGACGCUGAGAAGCGAAAGCGUGGGGAGCGAACAGG